UGAAGCUGCCAGCAUGAUCUUAAUCUCCCUCCAUCGUUGAGGGAAGAUCAGAUCAUGUGGCAGUUUCA
rnacentral:pre_miRNA from 1 species